rnacentral:rRNA from 1 species
GACGAACGCUGGCGGCGUGCUUAACACAUGCAAGUCGAGCGGUAAGGCCCUUUCGGGGGUACGACGAGCGGCGAACGGGUGAGUAACACGUGGGUGACCUGCCCUCAGCUCUGGGAUAAGCCUGGGAAACCGGGUCUAAUACUGGAUAUGACUCCAUGACGCAUGUUGGUGGGGUGGAAAGCCUUGUGCGGCUGAGGAUGGGCCCGCGGCCUAAUCAGCUUGUUGGUGGGGUGAUGCCUACCAAGGCGACGACGGGUAGCCGGCCUGAGAGGGCGACCGGCCACACUGGGACUGAGACACGGCCCAGACUCCUACGGGAGGCAGCAGUGGGGAAUCUUGCGCAAUGGGCGAAAGCCUGACGCAGCGACGCCGCGUGAGGGAUGACGGCCU